rnacentral:rRNA from 1 species
ACUCCUACGGGAGGCAGCAGUGAGGAAUAUUGCACAAUGGAGGAAACUCUGAUGCAGCAACGCCGCGUGGAGGAUGACGCAUUUCGGUGUGUAAACUCCUCUUAUAUGUCAAGAAAAUGACGGUAGCAUAUGAAUAAGCACCGGCUAACUCCGUGCCAGCAGCCGCGGUAAUACGGAGGGUGCAAGCGUUAUUCGGAAUCACUGGGCGUAAAGGACGCGUAGGCGGGAAGCCAAGUCUGAUGUGAAAUCCUAUGGCUUAACCAUAGAACUGCAUUGGAAACUGGUUACCUAGAGUAUGGGAGGGGGAGAUGGAAUUAGUGGUGUAGGGGUAAAAUCCGUAGAUAUCACUAGGAAUACCGAAAGCGAAGGCGAUCUCCUGGAACAAUACUGACGCUAAGGCGUGAAAGCGUGGGGAGCAAACGGGAUUANAUACCCCGGUAGUCCACGCCCUAAACGAUGAACACUAGUCGUCGGAAUGCUAGUCAUUUCGGUGAUGCACUUAACAGAUUAAGUGUUCCGCCUGGGGAGUACGGUCGCAAGAUUAAAACUCAAAGGAAUAGACGGGGACCCGCACAAGUGGUGGAGCAUGUGGUUUAAUUCGAANAUACGCGAAGAACCUUACCUAGCCUUGACAUUGAUUGAACACUUUAGAGAUAGAGUGGUGCCCUUCGGGGAACAUGAAAACAGGUGCUGCACGGCUGUCGUCAGCUCGNGUCGUGAGAUGUUGGGUUAAGUCCCGCAACGAGCGCAACCCUCGUCUUUNAGUUGCCAGCANNNUAAGCUGGGCACUCUAAAGAGACUGCCUUCGCAANGNNGAGNANGUGANNACGACGUC